CCCCUUUCUUCGGUCAACGAGACCAAAAACAUACUUUAGGAAGAGUCAAGACUAAACUGAGCACAUACAAAAUUUUUCAGAAACUUAACAAAUUUUCAAAGUUACAGAGGUCACAAACUCGUGUGAAUAAGCCCUGUGCCUCACACGGCAUUAGACAUGCCCGUAUGUCUAGGCCGUGUCACAUCAGGUCAUACAUACUAACUUAUUCACACGGCCACAAGACACGCUUGUGUGCCUUUGCCGUGGUCGAAACUGAC
rnacentral:lncRNA from 1 species